UAGCAUUCUCGCAGUGCUGGUUAAGCCUUGGAAGGCUCGGGAAUACGGUGUGAAUCCGUAACUGACGCGCAGCGGUAAUAGAGAACGAACGCACAUGGAUGUAAUCCAAACACUGUUGAUGCUCCCUACAAAUAAUCACGGCAUUAUUUAGUAUAGCGGCAAUGGGAAGUUGUUGCCUAGGCGACCUGAUGGUCAUGCUCUUAAGUCCGAAUACCAACCAGCAAGACAAGCAAUAUU
rnacentral:ncRNA from 16 species